AGCCACUUGUAGCUUCUCUGGCUAUACUAAAAUUGGAACGAUACAGAGAAGAUUAGCAUGGCCCCUGCGCAAGGAUUACAUGCAAAUUUGUGAAAUGUUCCAAAGGGGG
ensembl:snRNA U6 U6 spliceosomal RNA